rnacentral:rRNA from 1 species
UACGGGGGGGGCAAGCGUUGUUCGGAAUUACUGGGCGUAAAGAGCGUGUAGGCGGCCAGGUAGGUCGGUUGUGAAAACUGGAGGCUCAACCUUCAGAGGUCGACCGAAACCAUCUGGCUAGAGUCCGGGAGAGGAGAGUGGAAUUCCUGGUGUAGCGGUGAAAUGCGCAGAUAUCAGGAAGAACACCCGUGGCGAAAGCGGCUCUCUGGAACGGUACUGACGCUCAGGCACGAAAGCGUGGGGAGCAAACAGG